GUAAGGGUCUGAGUUGCCAUGAGGGUAGUGGCCAAUAGCAACAAUCGUUUAUAAAGAUGCGAUGGAACUUCCAGGUGUUUUGCUGUUCCGUUUCGGUAAAUACCUACUGAGCACCUCCACUUCUUUGUCAACACCUGUCAUUGUCCGUUUUGUUUUUGUUAUAGUGGCCCUCUCAAUGGGUGCGAGGUGGCUCAUAACUCUUGUUUUAAAAAAAUAAUGUAUUUUCCAAUUACACUUGACAUACAAUAUCACAUUAGUUUCAGGUGUGCACUGCAGCGAUGAGACACUUAGACACCUUACAAAGCAAUCAUUCCACCAUCGUAACUCUCUUCUAACUCUGGCCCAAGCAAGGGGCCCUGACCAAGGACAAGCUUCGGAGACAGGUUUUCCAAACAGCACCCCGGGCGGUGGGCCGAGUAUUGACAGAAGCACAGGCCCUAUACCCAGGCCUUGAUUCACUUGCUCAUCAGAAUUACCCAAAUAUUAGUGCUUUCCUAGCAGGUGAGAAAACAGACUCAGAACAGCGAAGCGGCCCGCCCAAGGGCACACAGCCGGAAACUGGUGUUGGAACUGGGCCCCGCAGCACCUAGGAUUGCCAUGCACAUACCUGUCUACAUCUACAUUGUGCUCCCGGAGUCCAAGAUCCUUCCUGGAAGACUUUGUCCUGGGCCCUGGAGCUGCGGGCCCUUUGGGCAGCAGCCAGCACUUCGGGGAGCAGCAGGAGGAGGUGCACCUGGGAGGCGGGGGAGGGGCGUCCUGCAAGCUCUUUGCAUCCACUUCAAUGGGACCCAACGGAACCAGAGCAGGGACAUGCGGAGCGCCUCGGUGCUGCCUGAGCCAGCCCUGAAUACUAACCAGGGAGCUUCAAUCGAGCUAAAAAUAACUGGCUAAUCACCACCAGGAAGAAUUAGCGAGGACUCGGAAGAAAGGAAAAUGUCUUAAUUCUUCAUCUCUCAGCAGCUGGGCUCCAGCUGGGGCCGGUCUCCGCCUGGCUGCCACGGGGCAGGUAAUUGGCAGGCCGAAAGCCCCAGCACUUGGGGGUGCUGGCGGGGGCGCCCCAGCCCGCAGGAGGGUAAAAGGGACAGGGUUACGUGGGGCGAGGCGAGUUGGAAAACAGGGAACGCAGGAGAAAUGCGAUGCGACAGGAGGCAGGCUGUGGAGAACAAGGCAGUUGUCACAGUUCACACCCCUUCUCCUCUGAGAAAGUCAAAUCCUUAAUUAAAGGGAAACGUCGUUUUAUUCUGCUCUGCAAACCUCAGGCAGUGUUCCCUUCCCCAGCGCGGGAGUGGGCUCUGAGGGCACCGCUGGAGUCCAUGGGAACCAUGAUGAGAUGAAAUAAACCAAACACGGACGGAGCCGAGCAUGGGAAUCAAACCGUCAGGCGCGCAACCAGAGUGAUUCCUUCAGCCAGCCCGAAAGUGAGAAUCAAACCAACACUCUGUUUAGUCUUCAAAUCACGUGACAAAGGCCAAAGAGGGCAUGACCGACCUCCUGCGGGGACACGCAGCAAACCCAGCCUGGACCCCAGAAUCCUGGAGCGGCAGGUGCAGGAGGGGGACGAUUUCGAUGCCCUGGGUGAUGGGGGGCCUGUAGGUUUGGGAGGAAGAGUGUAUCUCACUGAAAAUGGUAUUUGCGUUAACAGUGUACUAGUAUAUCCAAUCACCAAGAAAUAAUCACUUAUAAGAAUUGAUGCCAUUUAUUCAGAAGAUAAUAAUGAAUUCAAUGAGUCUAGGACCUCAGUGAAAUCUUAAAGAGGGACCUAAAGCUACUUGGACAAAGAACAAUGGAUUCUACGAGAGACAGUAUCUUGAAGAGCGCAUGGGGGUUAACUUCUAUACCCUACUUAGAAUCCCAUAAUUUGAGAACUAGAGGGUAUCUUCAAACAUCAAAGAAAGAUAUAGCAGAACGAAC